rnacentral:rRNA from 1 species
GAUGAACGCUGGCGGCGUGCUUAACACAUGCAAGUCGAACGAAGCACUUUAUUUGAUUUCCUUCGGGACUGAUUAUUUUGUGACUGAGUGGCGGACGGGUGAGUAACGCGUGGGUAACCUGCCUUGUACAGGGGGAUAACAGUUGGAAACGGCUGCUAAUACCGCAUAAGCGCACGGCAUCGCAUGAUGCAGUGUGAAAAACUCCGGUGGUAUAAGAUGGACCCGCGUUGGAUUAGCUAGUUGGUGAGGUAACGGCCCACCAAGGCGACGAUCCAUAGCCGAGCUGAGAGGGUGACCGGCCACAUUGGGACUGAGACACGGCCCAAACUCCUACGGGAGGCAGCAGUGGGGAAUAUUGCACAAUGGGCGAAAGCCUGAUGCAGCGACGCCGCGUGAGCGAAGAAGUAUUUCGGUAUGUAAAGCUCUAUCAGCAGGGAAGAUAAUGACGGUACCUGACGAAGAAGCACCGGCUAAAUACGUG